UACCGCGGUUAUACGAGAGGCCCAAGUUGACAGGCUCCGGCGUAAAGCGUGGUUAAGGAACAACAAACACUAAAGCCGAACACUUACUAAGCUGUUAUACGCUUACGAAAAUAAGAAGCCCAUUCACGAAGGUGGCUUUACUAUACCUGAGCCCACGAAAGCUAAGACA
rnacentral:rRNA from 1 species